GGUUUUGUCCGCAGAACUGGGGCCCUGGUGGUCAGCUAGGGAGCCCUGUACAGCACCCACUGACAGCUGAGAGUACAGGUUUCACACACCCUUGUAGGUGGUGGAGGACUCCAGGCUGCCCCAGGUAGAGCUUCUAUACCAUAGAUGUUUUCUCUGAAACUCUGUGUCAGAGGAUGGAAAUGAGUAGGAAAUAUUAUGGUACAGAGGAUUUAUAAUCUCCUAGCCUAGAAUCAUCUUAACAAUGUUAUUGGGUGUUUUAAUUUUGAUUAUGAACUAUUUUUUUAGUUUUUUUUUUUUUUUCUUAAAGAGAUGGGCUCAAGGGAUCCUCCCGCCUCAGGCUUCUUAGUAACUGAGACUACAGGCAUGUACUACUGCACCUGGCUUGAUUAUGAACAUCUUAAAGUUUCCUGAAACAAUUAGGAAGUUUCUGCAUCCACGCACAGACCAUAAUAGAUAAACUCUUCUGGGAUGCAAGGAAGGGUGCCACUUAGUAUAGGAUCCUCAAGCCACUGAAAGAGGCAGUGCAGUGUUAAAAAUACCUAGCUUACUUCGGGGGAGGGUUUGGCUGAAUACUGAUGAAGUUUAUGAAAUAUGAAUGUAGUGAAGUUGCUGUACGUAAGUGGUAGGCGUGUGUGAAAGAAGUAAGAAGAAAUAAAAUUGUGUAUAAAUGACAGUCUGAAACUUGAUGGGAUUGUACACGUGAUAAGAAUGGUGAUGUUUAGGUCUGUGCUUAAUGGGGGAAAGUAAACGGGCUUAAAAUCUAUGUCAAACUAGCCACGAGAAUAAAAAUUAUAGAAUAUAAAAUCGUCUGACUUUUUUGUAUAAGCAAAGAAUGCUACCAAGAAUAAACAGGCAAGAAUAGAGGUGAAAUAGAAUGAGGGGGAAAUGAGGGACCAUCGUUUGAAUCUACUAUGAAGUAUGGUAAUCACUGUUUUAAGAAUUCCAGACUAUUAACUACUGUGCAGUUAGGAAGGGAAUUAGUUGUAGCCAAACAAAAGCCAUAAAUAUGAAUUUUAGGUUGUACGGAAGAAAUCCUCUUGAUCCCAAAACAUAAAUGCAUGUACUGAGAAGCCAAGCUGCACAUGGUGUAAUUUUUUCUGUCUUAUCCUGAUUAAUUGACAGUCAACUGUAUGCUUCUUUCCUGAAGGUGACUUUACAAUCUCUAGACCCAGACAUUUCUCUCUGAAGUGGAGUGAAGGAAGGAGAACCAGAAGCUAAAGGCAAUGAAAAGAGGAAAAGUUGACACUUUGAGAAGUUAUGACGAACUUGUCGAGAAUGCCAAUUGACAAAGGCAGAAACCUGAAGAAAUGGACAAAGACAGAGAAAAGGCAACCAGAUGUGAUUCCGCCCUUCCAGAAGCAAAGAGGCUUAUUUCAUCCCAUAUGAUCGAUGCCAGUCAUGGGGAGGAGUGGCUGUGUGGAAAUUAAUGGAUUUUCAACAUCCAAUCACAGAGGACACACAUGUAUAUUUAGCAAGUCUAAAACCUCUUAAAUAAACUGCAUUGCUUUUCAUUUUCACUUUCCAGUUAUAAAACCAGUGGAUGAUGAAAAGGCCAUGUGACAAUACAGCAUGUACUCUCAGGAAUGUUUGUGUGACGGGGAUAUUAUAUCUGAAGGGACAGGGCAACUGGGAGGGUGAACUGCUCAUAACUCUCAAUUGUCCAGGUAAUGAAGCAUUGGGAAAGCAAAGGCAAAUGAAAUAACCUGAUCAUCAAAAAAUGAUUCCUCUUUUAGUGCUCUUAUUAGUUGACUGAUGAUGACAAGUGUGAAAUUGCCAGAGUUGUAUUUUACCAUUUCUGGCACUCAUCACGUGCUUUGGAUGAGCACAUGUGUGCAGAAAGUGGGAACCCGGGCAAUUUCUAUAGACCAGGCUGUUAACCUGCAAGCUGUAAAAUUUCACAGUGUGAAGGAUGACAGUCAAGGAUUGGUGAGGUUCCCUAGCAUUCUUGAGGACUCACAGGGAAUCAGAAGAAGAACUGAAGCUACACUGAAAGGGCUCUUGAACCCUCUAAAGCUGACUUUUUAGUCUUGAACUUGGGGUUGUAUGUUAAAUAUGUGAUACUCACUCAUGAUGCUACCACUUGGUCGUAUUUUAUUAGACUAAAGUGUGUUAAAGCCAGAAAGGGCUUUAUGAAUCAGCGAGCCUAGCCCACCCUAUUUGAACUGAUGCUGACAAAGGUAACGUGUUCGAGAUCACAUUCCUAGUAAGCAGCAAGACUGUGACUAGAACCCAAGUCUUGUACUUUCUUACCUCAUGUUCCUGUCACUUGUGUGCUGUGCCAGGAUCCUCCAAAGUUCGAAUAAUGAGGAUUUUUUUUUUUUUAAAUUUUGAGACGGAGUCUUGCUCUGUCGCCCAGG
rnacentral:lncRNA from 1 species